CUCCUCCACCCGGCCAGUCAGUCCCCUCCGUCACUCGGCCAGUCCCCUCCGUCACUCGGCCAGUCCCCUCCGUCACCCGGCCAGUCACCUCCGUCACUCGGCAUAGCACAGCCGUGGGUAGCCCACAUGGGUAGGGUUGAAGAGAUCUUUUGUGUCCAUGAAAAGCGCAUGUAUAAAAAUCCAUGUAUUACAACGUUGGCUCUCCCAAAGAGGACUGAGGAGCUUUAAAGACGAGCUCAGGAAUCCACUUUAGAAAGACGUACAGAAUGCGUGACGAUGAGCUUGUUGACACUGUGAUGUUUUGGGUCAUAUCCGUCACCUGUGAGAGAUGUGACGAGGCUGACCAGAGACUAACAGAGCUGACCAGAGACUAACGGAGCUGACCAGAGACUAACGGGGCUGACCGACCAGGGGGUUAUUAUGUAGUCUGACCAGUCUCACAAAAGGGAUGUUUUAAAAAAAAAUGUUUAUCCCAUCUCAUCACCUGGUCGUGAAUGGUUCUGGACGUACCCCUCUGGAUGGAUGGAGAUCAUACUCAUUAACGUAACAACGGUUUCACACACAAUGACGUCUUCUAUUUCGGGCUGGAUGUACUGGCUUCGUGUCUGGAUGAAACAUCUAUUCCUCUCCUCCUGUGGUUGAUGGAUGUACUGGCUUUGUGUCAGGGUGAAACAUCUAUUCCUCUCCUCCUGUGGUUGAUGGAUGUACUGGAUUCAUGUCAGGGUGAAACAUCUAUUCCUCUCCUCCUGUGGUUGAUGGAUGUACUGGCUUUGUGUCAGGGUGAAACAUCUAUUCCUCUCCUCCUGUGGUUGAUGGAUGUACUGGCUUUGUGUCAGGGUGAAACAUCUAUUCCUCUCCUCCUGUGGUUGAUGGAUGUACUGGAUUCAUGUCAGGGUGAAACAUCUAUUCCUCUCCUCCUGUGGUUGAUGGAUGUACUGGCUUCAUGUCUGGAUGAAACAUCUAUUCCUCUCCUCCUGUGGUUGAUGGAUGUACUGGCUUUGUGUCAGGGUGAAACAUCUAUUCCUCUCCUCCUGUGGUUGAUGGAUGUACUGGCUUUGUGUCAGGGUGAAACAUCUAUUCCUCUCCUCCUGUGGUUGAUUGAUGUACUGGCUUCAUGUCUGGAUGAAACAUCUAUUCCUCUCCUCCUGUGGUUGAUGGAUGUACUGGCUUUGUGUCAGGGUGAAACAUCUAUUCCUCUCCUCCUGUGGUUGAUGGAUGUACUGGCUUUGUGUCAGGGUGAAACAUCUAUCCCUCUCCUCCUGUGGUUGAUGGAUGUUAGAAUGUUCUAGUAGUAUUUACAGUGAGUAGUGUAACUGUAUCUGCUACUGUAUCACACUGAUGUCCAUCUUAAACUGAACUAAGCUGGUUUGAAGUCUGGUUUGAAGUAUUGUAUCAGUGAGGGCAUUCAAAGAUUCACUCAAAACAACUAAAGUCGCUUUAAAACUGCCAAAAUAUUGCAUUUAAAUACUUAAUUUCCACCGCACUUUUACAACCGAUGUUGUUGUUGGCAAGACGUAAAGCCUGAGUAUGGAUUGAUUCGUUUGAUCAACAAAAUAUAAAUAUCUAUUACAGAAAUACCCAUACUGAGUCGAAUACUUUGACGUUUACAAAACUGAUUGAUCACUGUUUCUGUUUUUAAAGUAAUGUGCAACUGUAAAACAGACUUUGACAUCUUUGGCACAACAUGCUGCAUGAAUCGCCUCCUCAGAUAUCAGUAUUAAUAUCAUUAAAGUUGAAGUACCUUUUAAAGAACCUUCAAGUUAAAGUGAAGUACAUUUUUAAAGUACCUUCAAGUUAAAGUUGGAGUAACUUUUAAAGUACCUUCAAGUUAAAGUUGGAGU
ensembl:lncRNA